GAUCCUGGCUCAGGAUGAACGCUAGCUACAGGCUUAACACAUGCAAGUCGAGGGGCGAGCAUGGUCUUAGCUUGCUAAGACUGAUGGCGACCGGCGCACGGGUGAGUAACACGUAUCCAACCUGCCGUCUACUCUUGGACAGCCUUCUAGAAAGGAAGAUUAAUACAAGAUGGCAUCAUGAGUCCGCAUGUUCACAUGAUUAAAGGUAUUCCGGUAGACCGAUGGGGGU
rnacentral:rRNA from 1 species